GCUUAACACAUGCAAGUCGAACGCCCCGCAAGGGGAGUGGCAGACGGGUGAGUAACACGUGGGGAUCUGCCCAAUGGUACGGAAUAAUUCCGGGAAACUGGGACUAAUACCGUAUGAGCCCGCAAGGGGAAAGAUUUAUCGCCAUUGGAUGAACCCGCGUCGGAUUAGCUAGUUGGUGUGGUAAAGGCGCACCAAGGCGACGAUCCGUAGCUGGUCUGAGAGGAUGAUCAGCCACACUGGGACUGAGACACGGCCCAGACUCCUACGGGAGGCAGCAGUGGGGAAUAUUGGACAAUGGGCGCAAGCCUGAUCCAGCCAUGCCGCGUGAGUGAUGAAGGCCUUAGGGUUGUAAAGCUCUUUCGCCGACGAAGAUAACUGACGGUAGUCGGAGAAGAAGCCCCGGCUAACUUCGUGCCAGCAGCCGCGGUAAUACGAAGGGGGCUAGCGUUGUUCGGAAUCACUGGGCGUAAAGCGCACGUAGGCGGAUAUUUAAGUCAGGGGUGAAAUCCUGGAGCUCAACUCCAGAACUGCCCUUGAUACUGGGUAUCUCGAGUCCG
rnacentral:rRNA from 1 species